rnacentral:rRNA from 1 species
GACGAACGCUGGCGGCGUGCUUAACACAUGCAAGUCGAACGGAAAGGCCCUGCUUGCAGGGUACUCGAGUGGCGAACGGGUGAGUAACACGUGGGUGAUCUGCCCUGCACUUCGGGAUAAGCCUGGGAAACUGGGUCUAAUACCGGAUAGGAGCCAUUUUUAGUGUGAUGGUUGGAAAGUUUUUUUCGGUGUAGGAUGAGCUCGCGGCCUAUCAGCUUGUUGGUGGGGUAAUGGCCUACCAAGGCGGCGACGGGUAGCCGGCCUGAGAGGGUGGACGGCCACAUUGGGACUGAGAUACGGCCCAGACUCCUACGGGAGGCAGCAGUGGGGAAUAUUGCACAAUGGGCGCAAGCCUGGUGCAGCGACGCCGCGUGGGGGAUGACGGCCUUCGGGUUGUAAACUCCUUUCGCUAGGGACGAAGCUUUUUGUGACGGUACCUAGAUAAGAAGCACCGGCUAACUACGUG